rnacentral:rRNA from 1 species
GACGAACGCUGGCGGCGUGCUUAACACAUGCAAGUCGAACGGAAAGGCCCUGCUUGCAGGGUACUCGAGUGGCGAACGGGUGAGUAACACGUGGGUGAUCUGCCCUGCACUUCGGGAUAAGCUUGGGAAACUGGGUCUAAUACCGGAUAGGAGCCAUCUUUAGUGUGGUGGUUGGAAAGUUUUUUCGGUGUAGGAUGAGCUCGCGGCCUAUCAGCUUGUUGGUGGGGUAAUGGCCUACCGAGGCGGCGACGGGUAGCCGGCCUGAGAGGGUGUACGGCCACAUUGGGACUGAGAUACGGCCCAGACUCCUACGGGAGGCAGCAGUGGGGAAUAUUGCACAAUGGGCGCAAGCCUGAUGCAGCGACGCCGCGUGGGGGAUGAGGGCCUUCGGGUUGUAAACUCCUUUCGCUAGGGACGAAGCUUUUUUGUGACGGUACCUAGAUAAGAAGCACCGGCUAACUACGUG